UAAGGGCGGAUAAAUGCAAGUGAAAGUGUAGAAAGCACAUUUGCGAGUAGAGUUGGGUCGUGUAACACUAAUCCCUGUGAUUUCUCCGAACAGGCUACUGAAAUCACAGCCGUCCAUUUGUUAUAUCAACGUUCGUUGUCCUUGUUCAGUUCCUGUUCCAAAAACCCUGCCCGCAGAGAGGGGAGAUUUAGAGGGGCAAAAAAAGGAAAAAAAAAAAAAGAAAGAAAAAAAAAAGAAGAGAAAUAGAAGGGGAAAAAGGGGAAAAAAUGGAGGGAGGCGAAGAUGUUAGCAUCGAGGAGCUCGCCUCGAAUCUCUCAACCUACAAGGAUCAGCUUCAUCGGGCCCUUUCUCUUAUAAAGAUGCGGCCCUAUUGCGGCACAAAUAGCGGUAGGGGAGCUUACUGCUACGAUUUCAUUGAUUACGGUGAAGAAUAGCGCUCGUGAGCACUUUCCACUGGCCAUAGCGCUCGAAAGCGCGGAGUAGCGGUAAAUAGCGGUUAGAAAACUUUUGGUUGAUGAGCCGGGAAACUAGAGUAUGCAGACAUGGAAAAAGAGCUUGAAGAGGAAUGUGAACCGGUGUG